GAGGUGGAGAGCGAAACGGGAUUGAGAAAACAAUUGUUUAAAAAUGGAGUGAGGGAGAAAAGAGCUGGAGAGCAAAGAGGCAUUAGUAAAAUGGACAUGAAGAACUGGCUGCAGAGAGAUGACUGACCUGUGACCCUCCAGAUGUCUGCUGAACUAAAACUCCCAUCAAAGCCAGCCACCAUGGCCAAUGCUCGGGGAUAACGGAAGUUGCCAUCUAACAAGGCCACAAAGGCAAAGGUGCAUUUUUCUAUGGGAAACUUCAAUCUUGAAGAUAGCCGGAAUCAGUAAAGAACGUGUCAUCUAGCAAUUGCAUUACAUCCUUUCUGGUGGUAAACAAUACUAUAAAUGAAACCUUAACACAUACAAAUCCCAGUGUUGGCAUUUUUUAAGUAGGUCUGUACAGAAUGUUUUGCUCAGAACUGAAUUAUAGUCUGGGAAAGGGAAAUAGGGUUUCUUUUCUAAAUUCAAUCAUGUCUUCAGAUACAACAAUCACUUGUUCAUAAAAGGUGCAAAUUUAGUGUGAAAUUUUCCUGUAAUUUGUAUAAGAUUGUUUGUAUAAAUAUAUGUCUCUGUUUCAUCCAUACCCAACUGAUCAUUGUGCUUUGCAAGAGAGGACUUCCUGCAGAUACCAUCUUAUCAGGAGAUCUGUCCUGCACAAUGUUGGAAUUGGGUAGCACCUACUCUUUGGAAUUACCUCUCAUUACAUACAUGACAGGUGCCAUUUCUAUUUCUGGUGCCUGUUGAAGACUUUCCUCUUUCAACAAGUCUUUUAAGUGGAGAUGUUUAUCCCACUCAAUCUCUGUAUUGGUUUUGAAAUCAUGUUAUACAUAUGCAAUUGUUUUGACUGUUUUUUAAUAUAUGCAAUUGUUAGAUCCGUGUUUUGACUGUUUCAUGAAAUCAAUUAGAGAUGCUUCAUGGUAAGCAGCGGUAACGCAGCCGAAGCUCUGCUCACGGCCGGAGUUUGAUUCCAACAGAAAGAGGAAGUCGAAUCUCCAGUAAAAAGGGUCGAGGUCCACUCAGCCUUCCAUCCAUCCGUGGUCGGUAAAAUGAGUAACUGGCAUUUUCUGGGGGGUAAAGAAAGGCUGGGGAUGGAACUGGCAAUCCCACCCCAUAUAUAUGGCCUGCCUAGUAAACUGU